AUUUAGAGGAAGGAGAAGUCGUAACAAGGUUUCCGUAGGUGAACCUGCGGAAGGAUCAUUGUCGAUGCCUAAACAUCAAACGACCCGCGAACGCGUUUACAAACCUUCCGUGCCGGAGGGGAUGCAUCUUCUUGCUUGCCCCCCCUCUCGGUGCCUAAACCAAACCCCGGCGCAGGUCGCGCCAAGGAACUCAAACGAAUUCGCACGCCCCCCGCCCCGAUCUCGGCGUGCGGGGAGCGGAGCAUUCUUGUCGUAUUAUUCACAACGACUCUCGGCAACGGAUAUCUCGGCUCUCGCAUCGAUGAAGAACGUAGCGAAAUGCGAUACUUGGUGUGAAUUGCAGGAUCCCGCGAACCACCGAGUCUUUGAACGCAAGUUGCGCCCGGAGCCUUCUGGCCGAGGGCACGUCUGCCUGGGCGUCACGCAUCGCUGACGCAACACCCGCUCGGGUUUGCUGCGCAGGCGGGGGCACAC
rnacentral:misc_RNA from 1 species